rnacentral:rRNA from 1 species
GCGCGAAACCUUUACAAUGCACGCAAGUGUGAUAAGGGAACCCUAAGUGCUUUGCUUUUGCAAGGCUUUUUCCAAGAGUAAAUAUCUUGGAGAAUAAGUGGUGGGCAAUACCUGUGCCAGCCGCCGCGGUAAUCCAGGAGCCACAAGUGGCAACCAUUUUUAUUGGGCCUAAAGCGUCCGUAGCAUGUUUGGUAAAUCUUCUGUGAAAUCAUUAGGCUUAACUUAAUGGUGUGCAGAAGAGACUGUCAGACUAGGGACCGGGAGGAGUCAGAGGUAUUUCGGGGGGAGCGGUAAAAUGCUAUAAUCCUCGAAGGACCACCUGUGGCGAAGGCGUCUGACUAGAACGGAUUCGACGGUGAGGGACGAAAGCUAGGGGAGCAAUCCGGAUUAGAUAUCAAAAAUUCUGUCUUAACAGAAUUUUGAGACCAAAAAUCUUCGAUUUUUGUGUAUCAAAAAUUCUAAAAAUUUUUGGAACCCCUCCGGGGUACGAGAAAUCAUCAAGAUUGCAAAUAUAUUUACUUUGAUGAUACCUUUGAUAUGAGAGUUUUUGACUAACUACCCGAGUAGUCCUAGCUGUAAACUCUGCGAGCUAGGUGUUGCAUAAUCUUCGUGAUUAUGCAGUGUCGAAGCGAAGGUGUUAAGCUCGCCGCCUGGGAAGUAUGGUCGCAAGGCUGAAACUUAAAGGAAUUGG